rnacentral:lncRNA from 1 species
AAAGGAACCACAGAUAAAAAUAGGUGCAAUGUCCAUAUUGCUUCCUGUUUCUAGGCAUUAAGCUUUAUGACAUCGAACAAUUCAGUUUCAAAUGGGUUCCUUGUUUAAUUUCUUCACCAAGAUCUAACCUACGAACAUUAAAAAAAACAUUGAUCUCAAUUGACCCGGCAAUGGAGGCUUCAAUUCCAACCAACUCAAUACUCGACCAAAAUACACCGAACUUCACACGUAAGUUGACAGUGAUGUUAAGAACAAACCUCAAUAUUUAUUUAACAAAAAUAUCAACCAAUCGAGGUUUUCAAAUUUUGGUUCCUAGUUUUAAGUUCUUACAAUUUGUAAUGGUAAAUCUCUAGAUUGAGUUACGAUUUUGUCGUUAUCACUUUUAUCGGUGCACCGGUAACACUUUGGGUGAAAUGGUAGCGGCAAUCACUUUUAUCGGGCCAAGAUUCAUCUUCACAAGGUGGGUUUUGGAAGGCGGCGUGAUUCAUAGAGGUUGCUAGAGGGAUGACGGCGGAAUGUGCGACUAUUUGUUGUUGUUGCCCAUAUGGGCUCGUGAACCUCCUUUUUGUUGACUGUGUAUAAGUUGCCAAUGGAAUUUUGCCCGAAAGCGCUAUGGAGGAAACGCCGACUAGCCUGAUGAAGAAAGGGGUUGGGUUCGGUGGGGUUCUGGUUUCUGUAUUUUUUCUUAAUUUUUUAAAGUUAAAUCCACGUGUCCUUGUUUUAUUUGUUACUUUGGUGUGUGAAUUACACACACCUUUUUUGUUUUUCUGCCUAAGAAUUUUAUGUCAAAGCCUG